AGAGUUUGAUCCUGGCUCAGGACGAACGCUGGCGGCGUGCUUAACACAUGCAAGUCGAACGAUGGAGUGGAGCUUGCUCCACGGAUUAGUGGCGAACGGGUGAGGAACACGUGAGAAACCUGCCUCGGAUUUUGGGAUAACAAAUGGAAACGUUUGCUAAUACCAAGUAACGUCGGAGAGUCACAUGACUUUCUGACGAAAGGAAUUCCGAUUCGAGAGGGUCUCGCGGCCUAUCAGCUAGUUGGCGGGGUAAUGGCCCACCAAGGCAACGACGGGUAGCUGGUCUGAGAGGAUGGUCAGCCACACUGGGACUGAGACACGGCCCAGACUCCUACGGGAGGCAGCAGUGGGGAAUCUUGCGCAAUGGGCGAAAGCCUGACGCAGCAACGCCGCGUGCGGGAAGAAGGCUUUCGGGCUGUAAACCGCUUUCAGCAGGAACGAAAAUGACGGUACCUGCAGAAGAAGGAGCGGCCAACUAUGUGCCAGCAGCCGCGGUGAUACAUAGGCUUCAAGCGUUGUCCGGAUUUAUUGGGCGUAAAGGGUUCGUAGGCGGUCGAGUAAGUCGGGUGUGAAAAUUCUGGGCUCAACCCAGAGACGCCACCCGAUACUGCUUAACUUGAGUUCGAUAGGGGAGUGGGGAAUUCCUAGUGUAGCGGUGAAAUGCGCAGAUAUUAGGAGGAACACCGGUGGCGAAGGCGCCACUCUGGAUCGAUACUGACGCUGAGGAACGAANG
rnacentral:rRNA from 1 species